rnacentral:sRNA from 1 species
CGAAAGCCUGACGGAGCAAUACCGCGUGAGGGAGGAAGGCUCUUGGGUCGUAAACCUCUUUUCUCAGGGAAGAAGCAAUGACGGUACCUGAGGAAUCAGCAUCGGCUAACUCCGUGCCAGCAGCCGCGGUAAUACGGAGGAUGCAAGCGUUAUCCGGAAUGAUUGGGCGUAAAGCGUCCGCAGGUGGCACAUCAAGUCUGCUGUCAAAGCCCCCAGCUUAACUGGGAAGAGGCGGUGGAAACUGGUGAGCUAGAGAGCAAUAGGGGUAGAGGGAAUUCCCGGUGUAGCGGUGAAAUGCGUAGAGAUCGGGAAGAACACCAGUGGCGAAAGCGCUCUACUAGGUUGCAACUGACACUGAGGGACGAAAGCUAGGGGAGCGAAUGGGAUUAGAUACCCCAGUAGUCCUAGCCGUAAACGAUGGAUACUAGGCGUUUCUCGUAUCGACCCGAGGAGUGCCGGAGCCAACGCGUUAAGUAUCCCGCCUGGGGAGUACGCACGCAAGUGUGAAACUCAAAGGAAUUGACGGGGGCCCGCACAAGCGGUGGAGUAUGUGGUUUAAUUCGAUGCAACGCGAAGAACCUUACCAGGGCUUGACAUGUCUGGAACCCGUGGGAAACUAUGGGGUGCCGAAAGGAGCCAGAACACAGGUGGUGCAUGGCUGUCGUCAGCUCGUGUCGUGAGAUGUUGGGUUAAGUCCCGCAACGAGCGCAACCCUCGUGUUUAGUUGCCAUCAUUCAGUUGGGCACUCUAGACAGACUGCCGGUGACAAACCGGAGGAAGGUGGGGAUGACGUCAAGUCAGCAUGCCCCUUACGUCCUGGGCGACACACGUACUACAAUGCUACGGACAACGGGAAGCCAACCAGCGAUGGGGAGCAAAGCCCAGCAAACCGUAGCUCAGUUCAGAUCGCAGGCUGCAACUCGCCUGCGUGAAGGCGGAAUCGCUAGUAAUCGCCGGUCAGCCAUACGGCGGUGAAUACGUUCCCGGGCCUUGUACACACCGCCCGUCACACCAUGGAAGUUGGCCACGCCCGAAGUCAUUACUCUAACCAUUCGUGGAGGAGGAUGCCGAAGGCAGGGCUGAUGACUGGGGUGAAGUCGUAACAAGGUAGCCGUACCGGAAGGUGUGGCUGGAUCACCUCCUUUACAGGGAGACCAACUUCAGUAACCAGUAGAGAGUGACCGGUGCCGAUUGUAUCGGCAAAGGCACUAACACCAAGCUGGAAACUGAGGACAUCCCGAGGUCGGACGACACUGACAAAACAGCUCGAGUGCAGCAACGCUUUCAAACUAGAACUGGUUCGGUAGGAGCGGUACCACCAGUAGGGGCUAUUAGCUCAGGUGGUUAGAGCGCACCCCUGAUAAGGGUGAGGUCCCUGGUUCGAGUCCAGGAUGGCCCACCUCAAAGAACUGAGAAUUUCCAGUUCGAGAUUCAAAAAAAUUGAAACAAGCAAUUGGUCAAGUCAAAUCCAGUGGGAUGUGAUAGACUAGUCAAGUUGAGUAAAAUUCAGCACUGUCUGCGAGUGGAGACAACUGCUGGAAAUUCUCCAGCGAGCACCUUGAAAACUGCAUAGAGAUAAGAGAAAUAGUCAGGUAGAAAACCAAGUAUUUGCGAAAUAACUGGUCAAGCGAAAUACAGCUGACGGUGGAUACCUAGACACGCAGAGGCGAAGAAGGACGUGGCGACCGACGAAAAGCUUCGGGGAGCUGGCAGCAAGCACUGAGCCGAAGAUAUCCGAAUGGGGCAACCCCCUUGUACAGCCUGUUGAAUCCAUAGACAGGUAUGAGCCAACCCAGCCAACUGAAACAUCUUAGUAGCUGGAGGAAAAGAAAUCAAACGAGAUUCUCCCAGUAGUGGUGAGCGAAAGGAGAACAGCCUAAACCAGAGUACAAGUAUUCUGGGGUAGUGGGACAGCGAGAUGGAAGCACUAGACUAGACGAAACGAUUGACAAAUCGUACCAAAGAGGGUGAUAGUCCCGUAGUCGAAAGUUGAAGUGCUACUAGCUGAAUCCCGAGUAGCUAGGGACACGGGAAAUCCCUAGUGAAUCAGCCGAGACCACUCGGUAAGGCUAAAUACUACUGCGUGAGCGAUAGAGCAACAGUACCGCGAGGGAAAGGUGAAAAGAACCCCGAUAAGGGGAGUGAAAUAGAACAUGAAACCGUCAGUUGACAAGCAGUGGAAGGAUGAUUCAACGUCCGACCGCGUGCCUGUUGAAGAAUGAGCCGGCGAGUUAUAGUCACUGGUAUGGCGAAUAGCCACAGCGAAAGCGAGUCUGAAGUGGGCGAAUUAUCAGUGUAUAUAGACCCGAACCUGGGUGAUCUAACCAUGGCCAGGAUGAAGCUUGGGUAACACCAAGUGGAGGUCCGCACCGACCGAUGUUGAAAAAUCGGCGGAUGAGCUGUGGUUAGGGGUGAAAUGCCAAUCGAACCCAGAGCUAGCUGGUUCUCCCCGAAAUGUGUUGAGGCGCAGCGGUAAGUGAUAAUUGCUGGGGGUAAAGCACUGUUUCGGUGCGGGCGGCCUCAAGCUGUACCAAAUCGAGACAAACUCAGAAUACCAGCAACAAUCUUACUAGUGAGACGGUGGGGGAUAAGCUUCAUCGUCAAGAGGGAAACAGCCCAGACCGCCAGCUAAGGUCCCCAAAUCAAAGUUAAGUGGCAAAGGAGGUGGGAGUGCACAGACAACCAGGAGGUUUGCCUAGAAGCAGCCAUCCUUGAAAGAGUGCGUAAUAGCUCACUGGUCAAGCGCUCCUGCGCCGAAAAUGAACGGGACUAAACUUUGUACCGAAGCUGCGGACUUGUAGCGAUACAAGUGGUAGGGGAGCGUUCUGCGAUAGGGUGAAGCACUAGCGGCAAGCAGGUGUGGACGAAGCAGAAGUGAGAAUGUCGGCUUGAGUAGCGCAAAUAUUGGUGAGAAUCCAAUACCCCGAAACCCUAAGGGUUCCUCCACAAGGCUCGUCCGUGGAGGGUUAGUCAGGACCUAAGGCGAGGCCGAACGGCGUAGUCGAUGGACAACGGGCGAACAAUCCCGUACUGAAGAUUAGUUGUGCAGAGGGACGGAGAAGGCACGCACCAGCCAGAUGUUGGUUACUGGCGCAAUUAACCGAGGCAUCGAGAAGCGGCGAAAACGCUUCGAGCUGGGGUUAAGAGACCGAGGGUCUACGGACCCGAAGUGGUAGCGGUCAAGCUUCCAAGAAAAGCUCUAAACACGUUAACUAAUCGUCACCUGUACCCAAAACCGACACAGGUAGGGAGGUAGAGAAUACUAAGGGGCGCGAGAUAACUCUCUCUAAGGAACUCGGCAACAUGGCCCCGUAACUUCGGAAGAAGGGGUGCCUACGCAAGUAGGUCGCAGUGAAGAGAUCCAGGCGACUGUUUACCAAAAACACAGGUCUCCGCAAAGUCAAUAGACGAGGUAUGGGGGCUGACGCCUGCCCAGUGCCGGAAGGUUAAGGAAGUCGGUCAGGGCCUUGAGCCUAAAGCUGGCGACCGAAGCCCCGGUGAACGGCGGCCGUAACUAUAACGGUCCUAAGGUAGCGAAAUUCCUUGUCGGGUAAGUUCCGACCCGCACGAAAGGCGUAACGAUCUGGAUGGUGUCUCAGAGAGAGACUCGGCGAAAUAGGAAUGUCUGUGAAGAUACGGACUACCUGCACCUGGACAGAAAGACCCUAUGAAGCUUUACUGUAGCCUGGAAUGGUGUUCGGGCUUUGCUUGCGCAGAAUAGGUGGGAGGCAAUGAUUCACUCCUUGUGGGGAGUGAGGAGCCGCAAUGUGAGAUACCACUCUGGCGAGGCUAGAAUUCUAACCCGCGACCGUUAUCCGGUCGGGGAACAGUUUCAGGUGGGCAGUUUGACUGGGGCGGUCGCCUCCUAAAGUGUAACGGAGGCGCGCAAAGGUUCCCUCAGGCUGGUUGGAAAUCAGCCGCAGAGUGUAAAGGCAAAAGGGAGCUUGACUGCAAGAGUGACAACUCGCGCAGGGUGGAAACACGGCCUUAGUGAUCCGACGGUAGUGAGUGGAAGCGCCGUCGCUCAACGGAUAAAAGUUACUCUAGGGAUAACAGGCUGAUCUCCCCCAAGAGUCCACAUCGACGGGGAGGUUUGGCACCUCGAUGUCGGCUCAUCGCAACCUGGGG